rnacentral:rRNA from 1 species
CAUUGGAACUGAGACACGGUCCAAACUCCUACGGGAGGCAGCAGUGAGGAAUAUUGGUCAAUGGGCGAGAGCCUGAACCAGCCAAGUAGCGUGCAGGAAGACGGCCCUAUGGGUUGUAAACUGCUUUUAUACGGGGAUAAAGUGAGCCACGUGUGGCUUAUUGCAGGUACCGUAUGAAUAAGGACCGGCUAAUUCCGUGCCAGCAGCCGCGGUAAUACGGAAGGUCCGGGCGUUAUCCGGAUUUAUUGGGUUUAAAGGGAGCGUAGGCCGUCUGUUAAGCGUGUUGUGAAAUGUCGGGGCUCAACCUGGGCAUUGCAGCGCGAACUGGCAGACUUGAGUGCGCAGGAAGUAGGCGGAAUUCGUCGUGUAGCGGUGAAAUGCUUAGAUAUGACGAAGAACUCCGAUUGCGAAGGCAGCCUACUGUAGCGUAACUGACGCUGAAGCUCGAAAGCGUGGGUAUCGAACAGGAUUAGAUACCCUGGUAGUCCACGCGGUAAACGAUGGAUGCUCGCUGUUUGCGUCUGACGUAAGCGGCCAAGCGAAAGCGUUAAGCAUCCCACCUGGGGAGUAC